CACCAUCAGAGGAAGUGGCCAUAGACGACUGCUUUCUCAGACUAUGCUGGUACCGGUCGGUAGAGUAGAUAGCCCUUGAAGCUCCCUAAGGGUUUUGUGGGAAGUCUUCAAAAUGUAAUGAUCCUUUUAAGUCAGUGGGACAAAAGUGGGUACGUUAGGUGAGGCGCUUGUGUGACCUGAGCUCACAGCAGGUGUGUCUGUAAGUGAGGGUAGUAGGAUUGUCUGCAGAAGUGAUCGGGACAAGAUUAUCGACAAUUUGUAUGGAAAGAAAUCUGACAAGACUUGGAGUUUGGUCAGAUUUACCCUUUAUGAGAAAUUCCUUAUUGGCUCCUAAUUCAAAUGGUUACAUAAAGAAACCUGUAGCCUGCAGCCAUAAGAAGCCACGACUUCUUUGGGGGCUCUCUGGAUGAGGGCUUUACAGGGUUACACUGAGGAAAACUUUUAUUCCCAGCUCUUAGAAUAUACAGUUUAUGACUUUCAUGAAGAGUGACAAAUACUCACUUUUGCUAUAUAUGCCCAGAGUACCAACAGGGACUAACUACUGAAUGUUUUGUGAUGAUAUGUGACCUCUGUUCUAUUCAGCUCUCACCCAUCCAAACUCAUGUAUAGAAUUCCCCAUGGAAACUGCAGGGCAAGGAACCCACUCCAUACAGAUACUGAUUUAGGAGAGUAAGCUAAAGGACGCAUAUUUACUAUGAAACAGGAGCUGAGAGGUAUGACCAAAGAAUGUUCCAGAUUGACUUGGAUUCUUUAGCCUGCAGUGGGACGGAGAGUAAGGGGAUGAUUUUUUCAAACCUCCCUCUUUAAGGCAUCAGAUGUUCUACCUUAAAGGGAGCUUGGCUUCACAUGGAAUUUCUCUAUCCAGAUUCUAUGCUCUGUACAUCCCUCUGCAAAACCUCCCAAAACGAGAAUAGCCUCUUAUGAGAAUAUGAAAUGUAGAAGACCUCAUAACAACUCAACUGAGAGUUUCUCCCCAAAGUGAACCAUUCACAUUAGAAUUCUUCAUGGAGUCCCAUUGACCAUACACACGUGCAUGUGUGUGCAAAACGGACUCAUUUGGGCAGUUUUAAAAGUGCAACAUUCAGUCCCAGCACUCAACAUUUAAUCCCAAUCUUUGGAUCUGUUAUAGUCAUUCUUUAAAAAAAAAAAUCAGUUUCUGGUUUCUGACUCAUCUUGGUUAUACCUCUAGCAAUUUUUUUCUUGAAAUUCUGAAAAUGAUUCACAUACAUAUGCAUAUUUAAUUCUCUUAGAUAAUCUAUAAGCUUGGAUGGUAUUUAUUCUGAAUGGGAAAAAUACCCAAAAUUUUAUAUGGGAAAAAAAUCUAUGUAAUUUAUAAUGGUUUGUUUUAUAUAUUUAUAUUUUCAUAUCUUUAGAGCACAUCUGUUGUUCUCAUCUUUUUGUACAUCACAGUUGGCAAAAAGAAAUACUAAUACUUGACUAAAAUCUCUAGGAACCAAAUGUGAUAUAUGUGAUACAUAAUGUAUAUAAAUUGCUCUAGAAAUACCUGAAUGUUCCCACCCAAGCCAAACACUGUUUCGUCAUUACAGCCAGAAUGUCUGGGGUGCUUACAAACAUUACUUUUUCACAGGGAAGAUUGAAAGGCCUGAUAUCCUACACAGUGGCUCUCAGACUCUCUUUCCCUUCGUUAUCUUGUUUGUCCUUGAACUGAGCGCAUCCUUCAAAAGGGCAAAAGAGAGCCAGUGAGAAAGGCACAGAAAUGAACUAGUUAUGGCUGAUGUAAAUCCCGUUAACAGGCUGAGGGCUUUAAAUCCCAGGCUCGGGUGCCGUUCACUGGGGAUGCGGCAUCUGCUCAGUUCUAUUGCACACAAAGGGUAGGGCAUGAGGAAUGAAUGAAUGCUUGCAUGUUUUGAACAGACACGGUGGACAUUUAGUGUAGCUACUGUUGGUGUCUUUGGGGAUCCCCAUGUGGCACUGGAAGAAGUGUUCUAGAAAAUCAAAUCAGUUACCUUUUCUUACAUGGUUUGAAGUAGUAUGUUUAUCACUGUUAGAACUUUUAAAUGGCAGUCCCAGUGGUUACAAGAACUAGGGAUUUCUUUUCAAUGUUUUCAUUUGGUAAGAAAUGGUCAUCAAAGUCUCUUUAAAACAAUAUUUUCUCAGUACAUUCAACUGCUUUCCUCAUAUGUCUUAGCAUAUCUUCUUAGAAACCCCCUACAUAGUUUCUGUUUCUACUGUUGCUUCUUAAACACUUACUGGUAGUCUUUAAAUACCACUCAAACUCCAUAUUUACACACACACAUGCACACGGUUUUGAACAUCUAUUAACUUUAAGAUAUUGAUUUUAAUAAUUUCACCAAUAAAGCCUUCAAACCAAUAACUAAGUUCAUUUUCCUAGUGACCCUUUUAUGAUUUCUUCAGAGAUUAACAGGUUUUGAUGAAACAAAUCAUUUGUGGGUAAAAUAAUCAAAUAAUACAUAAUUAUUUAUUAUAUUUUGCAGAAGACAAGUGUUUGAUUAUUAUACAAGGAAAAUCUCAUGUAUGAAGGAUGCUGUUUAAAUGACUUCUUUUCUUUAAAAAUGGGCAUGUAAAGUGGGCUACCACUGAGAAUACUACAAUCACUAAAAAUAGCUAGAAUAAAGCUAGAAAGUAAACAAUUCUAAGAACAUUAUGGAAAAAAUAAUUUUAUGAUUUAACCAAUUAUAAAAGCCUCAAAAUGUAUCUCUAAUACUACAGAUCCAUGAACAGUGAGUUGGUUUCAGAGAAUAUGUUCACAUCUCUUUUUGGUUUACUGUGCUUCACUCAUUCUGAACAUUCUUUGUUAAACUGGAAAUGAGAAAUGAGAUGGAAGAUGUUACCAGGAAGAAAUAGGAAAGAAUUUAAAGCUAUAAACAAGUGACUAAGAUAGGAGUUGAUCUCACUGUAGUAAAAAGAACCCAUGGCUUGUGAUCCAUCCUGUAGUCUGUUGCUUUAAUAAAGGGUUUACACAGGUG
rnacentral:lncRNA from 1 species